rnacentral:rRNA from 1 species
GACGAACCGUGCGAACGUUAUUCGGAAUCACUGGCUUAAAGCGCGUGUAGGCGGGAGGGCACGUCCGUCGCUGAAAUCCCCGGCUCAACCGGGGAACGGGCGCGGAUACGACCUUCCUGAGGGCGUAGGGGACCUGGAACUUCCGGUGGAGCGGUGAAAUGCGUUGAGAUCGGAAGGAACGCCCGUGGCGAAAGCGAGGUCCUGGACGCCUACUGACGCUGAGACGCGAAAGCCAGGGAGCGAACGGG